rnacentral:rRNA from 1 species
UCCGUAGGUGAACCUGCGGAAGGAUCAUUACCGAGUUGAUUCGGGCUCCGGCCCGAUCCUCCCACCCUUUGUGUACCUACCUCUGUUGCUUUGGCGGGCCGCGGUCCUCCGCGGCCGCCCCCCUCCCCGGGGGGGUGGCCAGCGCCCGCCAGAGGACCAUCAAACUCCAGUCAGUAAACGAUGCAGUCUGAAAAACAUUUAAUAAACUAAAACUUUCAACAACGGAUCUCUUGGUUCUGGCAUCGAUGAAGAACGCAGCGAAAUGCGAUAAGUAAUGUGAAUUGCAGAAUUCAGUGAAUCAUCGAAUCUUUGAACGCACAUUGCGCCCUUUGGUAUUCCGAAGGGCAUGCCUGUUCGAGCGUCAUUACAACCCUCAAGCUCUGCUUGGUAUUGGGCACCGUCCUUUGCGGGCGCGCCUCAAAGACCUCGGCGGUGGCGUCUUGCCUCAAGCGUAGUAGAACAUACAUCUCGCUUCGGAGCGCAGGGCGUCGCCCGCCGGACGAACCUUCUGAACUUUUCUCGAGGUUGACCUCGGAUCAGGUAGGGAUACCCGCUGAACUUAAGCAUAUCAAUAAGCGGAGGA